CCCUUAGAUGUCCUGGGCUGCACGCGCGCUACACUGAUGUGUCCAGUAAGCACCUAACCUCUUCCGAAAGGAACGGGUAACCUUUGCAAAGCACAUCGUGAUGGGGAUAGAUUAUUGCAAUUAUUAGUCUUGAACGAGGAAUUCCUAGUAAGCACAAGUCAUCAGCUUGUGUUGAUUACGUCCCUGCCCUUUGUACACACCGCCCGUCGCUCCUACCGAUUGAAUGUUCCGGUGAGCUCUUCGGACUGCGCGGUCUGCAGUUUCUGCGUUCCGUGCGGAAAGUUGCGCAAACCUUAACAUUUAGUGGAAGGAGAAGUCGUAACA
rnacentral:rRNA from 1 species